rnacentral:rRNA from 1 species
UGGGGAAUAUUGCACAAUGGGCGCAAGCCUGAUGCAGCCAUGCCGCGUGUAUGAAGAAUGCCUUCGGGUUGUAAAGUACUUUCAGCGGGGAGGAAGGGAGUAAAGUUAAUACCUUUGCUCAUUGACGUUACCCGCAGAAGAAGCACCGGCUAACUCCGUGCCAGCAGCCGCGGUAAUACGGAGGGUGCAAGCGUUAAUCGGAAUUACUGGGCGUAAAGCGCACGCAGGCGGUUUGUUAAGUCAGAUGUGAAAUCCCCGGGCUUAACCCGGGAAUUGCAUCUGAUACUGGUCAGCUAGAGUCUUGUAGAGGGGGGUAGAAUUCCAUGUGUAGCGGUGAAAUGCGUAGAGAUGUGGAGGAAUACCGGUGGCGAAGGCGGCCCCCUGGACAAAGACUGACGCUCAGGUGCGAAAGCGUGGGGAGCAAACAGG